GACGAACGCUGGCGGCGUGCUUAACACAUGCAAGUCGAACGGAAAGGCCCUGCUUUUGUGGGGUGCUCGAGUGGCGAACGGGUGAGUAACACGUGAGUAACCUGCCCUUGACUUUGUGAUAACUUCAGGAAACUGGGGCUAAUACCUGAUAGGAGCUCCUGCUGCAUGGGGGGGGUUGGAAAGUUUCGGCGGUUGGGGAUGGACUCGCGGCUUAUCAGCUGGUUGGUGGGGUAGUGGCUUACCAAGGCUUUGACGGGUAGCCGGCCUGGGAGGGUGACCGGCCACAUUGGGACUGAGAUACGGCCCAGACUCCUACGGGAGGCAGCAGUGGGGAAUAUUGCACAAUGGGCGGAAGCCUGAUGCAGCAACGCCGCGUGCGGGAUGACGGCCUUCGGGUUGUAAACCGCUUUCGCCUGUGACGAAGCGUGAGUGACGGUAAUGGGUAAAGAAGCACCGGCUAACUACGUG
rnacentral:rRNA from 1 species